GAUGAACGCUGGCGGCGUGCCUAAUACAUGCAAGUCGAGCGAACAGACGAGGAGCUUGCUCCUCUGACGUUAGCGGCGGACGGGUGAGUAACACGUGGAUAACCUACCUAUAAGACUGGGAUAACUUCGGGAAACCGGAGCUAAUACCGGAUAAUAUAUUGAACCGCAUGGUUCAAUAGUGAAAGACGGUUUUGCUGUCACUUAUAGAUGGAUCCGCGCCGCAUUAGCUAGUUGGUAAGGUAACGGCUUACCAAGGCAACGAUGCGUAGCCGACCUGAGAGGGUGAUCGGCCACACUGGAACUGAGACACGGUCCAGACUCCUACGGGGAGCAGCAGUAGGGAAUCUUCCGCAAUGGGCGAAAGCUUGACGGAGCAACGCCGCGUGAGUGAUGAAGGUCUUCGGAUCGUAAAACUCUGUUAUUAGGGAAGAACAAAUGUGUAAGUAACUAUGCACGUCUUGACGGUACCUAAUCAGAAAGCCACGGCUAACUACGUG
rnacentral:rRNA from 1 species